ACGCCGGUGGUGUAAGGCGAACAUCGCUGCCCGGAAAGCAGAAGAUCCGGGUUCGAGUCUCGCCUGGCGCA
rnacentral:tRNA from 1 species